CGGUCCUCAGCUCUGAAAAAAAAAAAUUGGAACAAUAUGGAGAAGAUUAGCAUGGCCCUGUGAAAGGGUGACACAAAAGUUCAGGAAGCAUUCCAUAUUUAA